GACGAACGCUGGCGGCGUGCCUAAUACAUGCAAGUAGAACGCUGAAGAGAGGAGCUUGCUCUUCUUGGAUGAGUUGCGAACGGGUGAGUAACGCGUAGGUAACCUGCCUUGUAGCGGGGGAUAACUAUUGGAAACGAUAGCUAAUACCGCAUAACAAUUGAUGACACAUGUCAUUUAUUUGAAAGGGGCAAUUGCUCCACUACAAGAUGGACCUGCGUUGUAUUAGCUAGUAGGUGAGGUAAUGGCUCACCUAGGCGACGAUACAUAGCCGACCUGAGAGGGGGAUCGGCCACACUGGGACUGAGAAACGGCCCAGACUUCUACGGGAGGCAGCAGUAGGGAAUCUUCGGCAAUGGGGGCAAUCCUGACCGAGCAACGCCGCGUGAGUGAAGAAGGUUUUCGGAUCGUAAAGAUCUGUUGUAAGUCAAGAACGGGUGUGAGAGUGGAAAGUUCACACUGUGACGGUAGCUUACCAGAAAGGGACGGCUAACUACGUG
rnacentral:rRNA from 1 species